AAAACAUACAUAACCUAUUUUUUGCAGUUACGUGUUUGGAAGAUGUAAAAAAUUGCAUUACUCACUUAUUUUUUGCUGUUACAUAGUCUGGCAGAAUUUAAAAUACGCGUGCCUACAAAACAAAAAUAAAUGUUAUAUAAAAUAAACUUGACACGAUGUCUUUAAAAAGCGAUAUAGUUAAACCAAAAACUAUCAAAGUUUAUGAAUUAGACGACUUUGAAAAGCUUUUGAAGGGUGUAAAAGUUGCAACAUGCAUGCUGACGGAAUCUGUUCAAAUUGUUGAUGAAGCAAGUGUGAUCAAGCGUCUCAGUGCUCUAACACUCAAUGGGGCUUCGGAUGGAAACUGCUGUUCUUGUUGCGGUGUAGGCCCGUUCGAGUCCCGGUCUCAGCAAACCGCCCACUACAAACACCACUGGCACACCCACAACUUGAAACGAAAACUCUUCGGCAAAAGUCCUGUUACUUAUGCUCUGUUCAAUUCUAGGCAAGAGGAUGAUUCCAGUGUAUCAGGCAGUGAUUCGGAGGCAGAGGAGAACACCAGUAAUCCGGCUAGCGAGUUGUUCGCAGCCGCCACCCGCCACUGCAAGGCCUUCUUCACCAACCACUCCGGGCAGGUGUUCUGCAUCUACCGGUGCAUCCUUCACCAUCGUAAGGAGCAACUAUCAACAGACGGCGAAGGCCGCGCGUGGGUGGACCGUUGCCAGCGCCUCUCCCUACCCGGGUCGCAACGUUGGGCCGUCCUUAUGGUGUCAGGCGGUCACUUCGCUGGUGCAGUCUUCUCAGGUGGCGUCGCAGUAGUCCACAAGACCUUGCACUCAUAUGUCACUAGGAGAGGGCAAGGUCAGUCCCAAGGCACUAGGGAUCAACAUGGAAAUGCUCCCAAGUCGGCUGGUGCCAGUCUCCGGAGAUACAAUCAGGCGCAGUUCUUGGAGCAUGUACAAGACAUAAUAUCUGGUUGGUCGGAAGACCUAGCAGGGUGUUCGCUCAUCCUCUACCGGGCUGUAGGGUCAACCAACCAAGCGGCAGUGUUCGGCAAGAACUCUCCGGUCAACAGGGAUGACCCUAGGGUCCGUGCGUUCCCCUUCCCCACCAGGAAGCCCACGUAUAAGGAAGUGCAACGGGCCCACGAGACCGUGGCCAGUGUUGAGGUCUAUGAUACGAUGGAGCUGUUCCAAAAAGCUUUGAUAGCGUCGACGUCCAACAAGACGCUCCUGAAGACUGGCUCUGACACCAGCGUUGACCGGAAACGGGCGCAGAAGAGCAGCCCUAACAAGCCUAUUGACAGGGCUAAAUCUAGAGAGCGAGCACCGCGCGAGUUGCCCAUUCAAGUAACAUCCAGCGAAGACGAGGGACCAUGCUUUAUUGACUCUGAGACCCCUGUCGGAUGGAUUAAGACGCUCUCCGAACAAAGCAGUAAAGGUAUAAUCACCAACUCGAGGAAAGACCUGAUCAACGACUGCUCUAUAGCAAGCUCAGACACCGACAGUGAGGUGAAGGACAUACCGGAGAAGAAGGAACAAACGAAGAAGAAGAAAGAUAAGAAGAGAGAUGUGAAGAAACAGGAAGAAGUGAACAAUAAGAGUGCUCCCAAGAAGGUGAUGCCAAAGAUACCGGCUAAUAUCAAAAAGAUGUGGAGCCUAAUAUCAGGGGGGGAGAGUUCAUUGGAGACAAUCCUGGAGACGUGGGAGGGAGACCUACCAUCAGCUUGCAACGUACAGGACCCACACGACGGGAACACCGCGCUGCAUAAAGCCGCUAUCGCUGCCAAGCCUGAGAUGGUCACACAACUCCUGUCGGCGGGUGGAGACCCGUGCAUCAAGAACCACGCGCUGCAAACGCCGUACGCCGCGUCGCCACACCUCGACACCAGAAUAGCAUUCCGACUGUUCCAGGCCGACCAUCCUGACAAAUAUAACUAUGCUAAGUCUCAAAUCCCCGGCCCAAUAACCCCUGAACUGCUAGAACAAGAGAAGGAGAGGAAAGCGCAGCAGAAGCGAGCCAAACGGCAGCGGGAGAAAGAGAAGCAAGCAGAGAAGAUCAAAUCCAACAAGUUCCUCCAACUCAAUGACGCUGAGAAGAUAAAAGCUGACGAACCUCGGUGCUUCCUGUGUGGCGCCGCACUUCCUAAGGUCCCGUUUUCAUAUGACAACUACAGAUUUUGUACCGUGCGUUGUCUACAAAACCACCGUAACUUGAGACCUCUUAACAUGAGUGUAUGAAGUAUUCAUGGGCCAGAGUUCGCUGGUCGCUUGUACGUUGAUGAUUCUAGUAUUGUGACCUACGCGCUUUCAGGCAAGAAAAAGAUCGACACAACAUUGGGUACUACAGCUAGGACACACAAAUGCUACAGAAGUAUAACCCUGCUACCUGAACUAGGAGACCUGUAUCUCAGGAAGCAGUGUUCAGCAAUUACAUCUUUUAUAACGUCGGUUUAGGCAGACCAUUGUUAAACUGAAUUUAUUUGACAAUAAACUGUACAAUACGAUAAAUAAGAUGAUAGAUUUGCUACAACGUUGUUGCACACCAUUUAAGUUUCAGUUAUACCUGUCAUUUUCUUAUCCGACGAAAAGGAAAGACACGGGUAAUCUAAAGGCAUAAAAUUUCAACACUCGUCAAUUUUAUACAGAAAUUUAAAAAUCCCUCCCAAAAUUUUAUAUUGACCAAUAACCCGACAGAAUUAAGUUGACAUCACUAGACAAACGGGUUGCAUAUCAGCGAGAUGUCUAUUUUAAUCGCCCGGGCUAUUCAUUCAUUCAUUCGUUCAUUUUAUAAUUGACAGUUGUCAGUCCGUCCCUUUCCUUUUUGACGGAGAAGAAAAUGAAGGAUAUAACUUAAAAGUAUUAGGUGUCUGCAGGAAUCGGAUAUUGAUGGCCAUCUAUAUUUUUUUGGGGAACGUAGCCUGAAAAGUACCUCAUGAACAUUAAUUAUCAAUAAAUAUAUACAAUAAAUAUAAUGAUAGAUUUGCUAGAAUGUGGUUAACUCGUCUGAAUAUUCUGCAAAGAAGCCAUUAGACAUUUAUUUUGCAAGUCACUUUAUAUAUAACUCUAAUCAGUUUUUAUAUACCUCAUAGAUUUACUACUACAUACAUUGAACAUCAGCGCUCAUAAAGUGAGACGUAAAGUUACUGUUAAUUUAGCGACGCUGACAGUACUUAACCUCAGUGCGCGAUUAGGCGCCGAACUGGCAACACGGGGAAUUGCGUGGUAAAAACUUGCAAAAAUCGAAGCUCAAAGCGAAAUAAGAAGAAUGGAACAUCAUAUUUCUAUAUAAACAUUAUAAUUUUCGCAGUAAAACCCACCAAAAUUAUUAUUUAGUUUAAAAUACACUAAAACAAGUACUCCGGUCAAUCCGAGUCGCAGUAUAACCCAGACGCGUUACGAAGCACCAGGCGCUAAUAUACGUAAUAAGGUGAUGCGUACUUACUUAAUUUGACACGAUUUUAUUGAAUGUAUAUACCGCUGUGUACGAAUGUAUAGCUAAACAAGCGCCAAGUUUUCGCCGCAUUUUUGUAUCAAGCGCUGUAUCUACGGUAGUGGCAAAUCAAUGAUAUACCCAUAUAAUGUAAGAUUUAUGAAGACAACGAAAGAAAAAGUACAAAUUCAUAUUGUAAUAUUAUGUAAAUUACAAAUUCAUUGCCUUAUCAAGUGAACCUUAUAUUAUAAUCGUAAUAGUGUAAAUUUUACAAAAUUAAACCAAGGAGAAAAAACUCACGAACACUAAUUAAAAAAAGAAAAAAAGAACGGUGAAAGAAUAGUUCACUUUUUUGAAUUGGCGACGCGACAUGGAAUCAAAUCCUAUUCAAACUGAUUUAACGAUUGAACUGCAUUCGAUCUUCCGUAACACUAGUAACGAGACGAGUUUCUUUUUCUUGUUUGAAGAAUUUAUAAGGGAUUGACAUAGCACUCCGCCUUUAUACCCGAAGGGGUCGGUAGAGGUGUAUAGUAUACACACCCACUCCACGACAGCUAUGUCUAAGUCCCAUGUAACAUGGGGAGAGUCUAUUGCUAUUAACCGGGCACAAAUCCUGGCGACGCCGUGAUAUCAAUUAUCUAAAAAAUUAAAAAAUCAAAAAUCCCGGACCAGUAAAAAGUAUGCUAACAGCAGACCAGCUCAGUGGUUCCAGAAAACAUUAGUGUUUCAAAUGUCAGAUCCCACAUAAUGCUUGUAAGCAAACUGAGCGUGUAACAUUCCUAUCACACCUAACAAACGACCUGAUGACCUUGAAGACCUGAACCGAUUUCCACCAAACAUAGCUAACAACACUCUCGACUGAUAUACCUUUCAAACCAAAAAUCCGCAUUAAAAUCGGAUCAUCCGUUUGGGAGCUACGAUGCCACAGACAGACACAUACACAUUUACACAGACACGUCAAACUUAUAACACCCCGUCGUUUUUGCGCCGGGGGUUAAAAAGGGACAAUAAUGUUUUAUUGUAACUUAAAGUUACCUUUCAUUGGAAUUCUUUGCCGUCUUCUGUAUUUCCGAAUGCAUAUAACCCGGGUGCUUUCAAGGCCAGUGAACAGGCACCUUCUGGGUGAGCUCGCUCCAUCUUAGGCCUCGUGAAUGCCUUCGGGCAAGUCUAGGGCCAAGAGCAAACCCAUCAAAGAUAAAAAAAUGUUUAAAAAUACCAUGGGUUUAAUUUUGGAAAACUUUCACCGGAAAUAGUCAUAGUCAUUCUAAUUAUUAUAGUCAAAAUA